GUGUCUAUGUAAAGGAGAGAUGGUUAGCACUUCCCUUGACAAGAAUGGAACACACAAAAUAGCUAAGGUACUACUUGAUCGCACUUUUUUUU